rnacentral:rRNA from 1 species
AGCUCCAAUAGCGUAUAUUAAAGUUGUUGCAGUUAAAAAGCUCGUAGUUGGAUUUCGGGGCGGCCUGGCUGGUCCGUCGCGAGACGAGUACUGGUCAGCCGCCCUUCCUCUCGAAAGCCCCGACUGCUCUUCACUGCAGUGGUCGGGUAGUUCGGGACGUUUACUUUGAAAAAAUUAGAGUGUUCAAGGCAGGCUCUCGCCUGAAUACAUUAGCAUGGAAUAAUGGAAGAGGACCUCGGUCCUAUUUUGUUGGUUUCUGGGACCGAAGUAAUGAUUAAGAGGGACAGUUGGGGGCAUUCGUAUUUAAUUGUCAGAGGUGAAAUUCUCGGAUUUAUGAAAGACGAACAACUGCGAAAGCAUUUGCCAAGGAUGUUUUCAUUAAUCAAGAACGAAAGUACGC